UGAAUAUGGGGGGACCAUCCUCCAAGGCUAAAUACUCCUGACUGACCGAUAGUGAACCAGUACCGUGAGGGAAAGGCGAAAAGAACCCCUGUGAGGGGAGUGAAAUAGAACCUGAAACCGUGUACGUACAAGCAGUAGGAGCACCUUCGUGGUGUGACUGCGUACCUUUUGUAUAAUGGGUCAGCGACUUAUAUUCAGUGGCAAGGUUAACCGUAUAGGGGAGCCGUAGCGAAAGCGAGUCUUAACUGGGCGCUCAGUCUCUGGAUAUAGACCCGAAACCGGGUGAUCUAGCCAUGGGCAGGUUGAAGGUUGAGUAACAUCAACUGGAGGACCGAACCGACUAAUGUUGAAAAAUUAGCGGAUGACUUGUGGCUAGGGGUGAAAGGCCAAUCAAACUCGGAGAUAGCUGGUUCUCCCCGAAAGCUAUUUAGGUAGCGCCUCGGACGAAUACUACUGGGGGUAGAGCACUGUUAAGGCUAGGGGGUCAUCCCGACUUACCAACCCUUUGCAAACUCCGAAUACCAGUAAGUACUAUCCGGGAGACACACGGCGGGUGCUAACGUCCGUCGUGGAGAGGGAAACAACCCAGACCGCCAGCUAAGGUCCCAAAGUAUUGCUAAGUGGGAAACGAUGUGGGAAGGCUCAGACAGCUAGGAUGUUGGCUUAGAAGCAGCCAUCAUUUAAAGAAAGCGUAAUAGCUCACUAGUCGAGUCGGCCUGCGCGGAAGAUGUAACGGGGCUAAGCAAUACACCGAAGCUGCGGCAAUGUCUUUUAGACAUUGGGUAGGGGAGCGUUCUGUAAGCCGUUGAAGGUGAAUCGUA
rnacentral:rRNA from 1 species